rnacentral:tRNA from 1 species
GCCUGGGUGGCUCAGUCGGUUAAGCGUCCGACUUUGGCUCAGGUCAUGAUCUCAUAGUUUGUGGGUUCGAGCCCCGCAUCGGGCU